UUUAUCGAGAGUGACGGAGGGAGAGGCCCUAUGAUGUCCAGCAACCCCCAUUUUGGGAAGGUGCUAAUUCCUACAGAAUGUAUUCUGAAAGAUAAA
rnacentral:ncRNA from 1 species